UUGGAUGACCUGCCUNCGAGACGGGGACAACAGUUCGAAAGGACUGCUAAUACCCGAUGGUCCUUUCCGGAUGCGUCCGGGACGGUAAAUGGUUGAUUCCGCUCGAUGAGGGGUCCAAGUCCUAUCAGCUAGUUGGUGAGGUGACGGCUCACCAAGGCGAUGACGGGUAGCCGGACUGAGAGGUCGACCGGCCACAUGGGAACUGAGACACUGUCCUGACUCCUACGGGAGGCUGCAGUCGAGAAUCUUCUGCAAUGGGCGCAAGCCUGACAGAGCGACGCCGCGUGGAGGACGAAGGCCCUCGGGUUGUAAACUCCUGUCACAUGUUAUGAACCGCAUGGGUUACACCCAUGUCUGACAAAAGCAUGAGAGGAAGUCACGGCUAACUUCGUGCCAGCAGCCGCGGUAAGACGAAGGUGGCUAGCGUUAUUCGGAUUUACUGGGCAUAAAGCGCGCGUAGGCGGCUCGACAAGUCGGAGGUGAAAGCCUGCAGCUCAACUGCGGUGUGCCUCCGAAACUGUCGAGCUU
rnacentral:rRNA from 1 species